rnacentral:rRNA from 1 species
UGGCGGACGGGUGAGUAACGCGUGGGGAACCUGCCUUGCACCGGGGGAUAACACUUAGAAAUAGGUGCUAAUACCGCAUAAGCGCACAGAGCCGCAUGGCUCAGUGUGAAAAACUCCGGUGGUGCAAGAUGGACCCGCGUCUGAUUAGCUGGUUGGCGGGGUAACGGCCCACCAAGGCGACGAUCAGUAGCCGGCCUGAGAGGGUGAACGGCCACAUUGGGACUGAGACACGGCCCAAACUCCUACGGGAGGCAGCAG